GGGGCUGUAGCUCAGUGGCAGAGCGCUUGCCUAGUACAUGCAAGAUACUGAGUUCAAUCCUUACUACCACG
rnacentral:tRNA from 1 species